AUGUAUCCCACCACCCCCUCCGACGCGUACGACAGGUUCAGCAACGGACCUCCGCCCACGGCGCCGCCGCCGCAGCAGCAGCCCACGUACAACCACGCCAUGAACCAGAGCCACCACGCCCGCCCCGCCGCCGGGCUGGCGCGCUGGUCCACCGGCCUCUUCCACUGCAUGGACGACCCCGGAAACUGUCUCAUCACCUGCCUGUGCCCCUGCAUCACGUUCGGGCAGAUCGCUGACAUCGUGGACAGAGGAACCUGCUCGUGCGCCGGGAGCGGGGCGGCCUACGCGGCCAUCUGCGCGACGACGGGGAUGGGGUGCCUCUACUCGUGCGUCUACCGCACCAAGAUGCGGGCGCACUACGACCUGGACGAGGGGGAGUGCCCGGACUUCCUCGUGCAUUGGUGCUGCGAGCUCUGCGCGCUCUGCCAGGAGUACCGGGAGCUCAAGAACCGCGGCUUCGACAUGGGGAUCGGCUGGGACGCCAACAUGGAGCGCCGGAACCGGGGCGUCACCGGCGGGCAGGUCAUGGGGGCGCCGGCCACGCCCGUCGGCAUGAUGAGGUAA
rnacentral:rRNA from 1 species